rnacentral:rRNA from 1 species
GUCGAGCGGAAUGACGAGAGCUUGCUCUCUGAUUUUAGCGGCGGACGGGUGAGUAACACGUGGGCAACCUGCCCUACAGAUGGGGAUAACUCCGGGAAACCGGGGCUAAUACCGAAUAAUCAGUUUGUCCGCAUGGGCAAACUCUGAAAGACGGUUUCGGCUGUCACUGUAGGAUGGGCCCGCGGCGCAUUAGCUAGUUGGUGGGGUAAUGGCCUACCAAGGCAACGAUGCGUAGCCGACCUGAGAGGGUGAUCGGCCACACUGGGACUGAGACACGGCCCAGACUCCUACGGGAGGCAGCAGUAGGGAAUCUUCCACAAUGGACGAAAGUCUGAUGGAGCAAUGCCGCGUGAGCGAAGAAGGUUUUCGGAUCGUAAAGCUCUGUUGUAAGGGAAGAACACGUACGGGAGUAACUGCCCGUGCCAUGACGGUACCUUAUUAGAAAGCCACGGCUAACUACGUGCCAGCAGCCGCGGUAAUACGUAGGUGGCAAGCGUUGUCCGGAAUUAUUGGGCGUAAAGCGCGCGCAGGCGGUUCUUUAAGUCUGAUGUGAAAGCCCACGGCUCAACCGUGGAGGGUCAUUGGAAACUGGAGAACUUGAGUACAGAAGAGGAAAGCGGAAUUCCACGUGUAGCGGUGAAAUGCGUAGAGAUGUGGAGGAACACCAGUGGCGAAG